rnacentral:misc_RNA from 1 species
GCAGGAUCAACCAGGUAGCAUUCCUCGCUGACAAUACCCGACGUGGCACGCAAAUGCCACGGUGAGAGUCAUUCAGUAGGGACAAAAAUCACUAGCUACGGGCCAAGACGAGACAUUGUCAUCAUACCCAAUGCAUAUUCCGAAUCCGAGAGCUCAAGCGAGCGUUUAUGGGCCAAAAUAACUGCAAUCGCAAUUCGAGUUACGUGGGACACAAACGACACUUCGAGGUUCACCGCAUCAAAAACCCGUAGCAAAACGGGCAAUCCACUGGUGAAUUGACAGACGAUUUGGCAGCAAAAUUCCGUAUAGUAGGGAUGCAACACAGGAAACCAAAGAAAGCUGACGGCCAAGGCAAGGUGCUCUUGUACCAUCAAAUGAAGAGGAACGCACGUCCGGCCGUCACUGCAACAACAAUGAUCCAACCAACCCAUACAAGA